CGUUAACUCAGUUGGUAUAGCAAUUGACUUUUAAUCAAUGGGUCACUGGUUCGAGCCC
rnacentral:tRNA from 1 species